rnacentral:lncRNA from 1 species
UCUGUGAGAGACAAGUUGAUUGUUAAAGAGGUUGCAGAGCUUGAGCUUAUUUACCUUGUACAUGUCAAGAGUAUUUCCUGAUCUAAAAAGCUUCAUUGCUUUCUGCUGACUGUAACCCCAGACGAGGGUUACUACUAGGGUGGAAAAUUUCAGCUCGAAACUGGACUUCCUGAUGCAUACAAUGUGGUGCCUUCCAAAGUGAAAUGCCUGACCAGGAUCUGGUACCCUAACAUCAGAGAUAGGGGAAAUAUGUCUAAAGUUUACUGAGGACAUUCGAUUGACAGCACUGGCUGGGCUCCCACGAGAUCAUUAAAGGAUGUUAUUUGGAGAUUAAAUUAUUUGUUUACUAAUCUUCUGAAUUUUGACGAUCCACUGAAUGUUGAAGCUGCAGAACAUCAUUUGUAGGACAAGGAGGACUUCUUGAAUAAAGUCGAUGACUACAUCAAG